rnacentral:lncRNA from 1 species
GUUGCUGCUGGUGCAGGUUACACGUGCGUGAAACUGGCAAUCUUGAAGGGUCGAGGAUGAGAGUAGGGUACACAUUGGACCACGGAUAGCGGACGAUCAUUCGACGGCCAUUAAAAGUUUCGGGAUUGUUUCAUUUUGGCGGGGUCACGGAACGCGACUCGGGGUUAAAAAAGCGAAUAACGUCAUUGCGAACCACUUAUAGUCAAGAACUCCACCGUCUCUCUGAGCAACCCUGAUACUCGUGCAACUUGCUGAUGUCAUUCAUGGGGGGGGAUGGCGUGUAGCAGUCCGGCGAUAUUACUUGUCCUCAAGCCCUUAAACGAGAACCUAAUCAGGUAAUGGAACAGGAACGAGAAACAAAUGAACACGAGCUGGGAGAACUGCUGGCCGAGGGUUGAACGCCGUUGAGUUCUGGUCCGAAGGGACAAGGGGCCGAGUGUUCGGUGUGUCCUUUUCUCAGGACACCGAACGUGCCGCACAAUACGCAGGACUGUAGGUACUCUUGAAUAUGGGAAAACACCGAGGCCAUGUCGCAGAGUUCCUUGUUUGAAAUUGGAUAGGAGGGGUGGACGGAAAUUACGAUACCCAUAGAAUUCUCAUAUUUUACAGAGGUGGAUAUUACAAAUACGAAUUCGAAUCCAGAGCUGACAGAGAAGAAAUUAUUCACGAGUUUUUCUCGAGGAUCGACUGACCCAAGGAUACUUUGGUGCUGUGGAUACAGUUUUGAGGGAAUCGAGUUACAUACCAUCAAAUUUUGCAAAAUGCGUUCUCGAAUGUUGUCAAAUGUAUUAGGCUGGGGUUCGUUGGAUAAGGCAUUUUAUGGAGCAACAUAUUUCUGUACGUCUUAUCACAUUGCGCAAAUAUGAGGAAUUCGUCAUCGAGCAUUAGGGAUAAAACGUGAGAAGACGUUAGGAAAAAAGGAGCAGAUUGACUUGCGGUUGUUUACUUUAAAGGCACAUUAAAAUGGAAUUGUAGCCUAAUGUACCGUAAAUAUUACACGAUGGAAUACAUGAGGUGUGAUGAAAAAUUCCGAGGCACAUAUUAUCUCGGAAACAUGGCAAAAGUCGUUUCAACCAUACCUAUAUACGUUUCUUUUUACUAACAAUAAGAAGUUUGCUUGGAUAAAAAUCGAUACAGUUUAACAAUUCUACGAGGAGAUAGUUGAAAAUUGAAUACUCAUCAGUUAUUAUAUUCGUAAGGUACCUGCAAAGAUUUCUUUUAAAAAUAAAGAAGUU